CGAACUCAAAGAGGUCAUGAUUC
rnacentral:snRNA from 1 species